ACCCUAUGAUUUAUAAGAAAGGACCAAUUAGCAAGUGACUAUAUAGUGUUUAUUAAUGAGCAAGGGUCCCAACAAAAACGUUUGACUGAAGCAAUACAUUCUCUUCUCUAAUAAAAUAUUAAUCUGGGUUUGGACUUUGGUUGGCUUGGUCAACUUCUGCUGGCCAAAUUCUUCUUCUUUUUUAGUAUUGGCUUUCACAGUUCCAGAUCCAAUAUUUUAUCACGGCUCCAUCUCCAUGGCUCUCAAGCUCUGAAGCUAAGCGACUUUUCAAGCAAACCCAGAGGAGAAAACAGAGCGAAGAAGAUGGAGAAAAAGCUUUUAGAUGCGGCCAUGGAGGGAAACAUAACGAUGCUUAAAGAUUUAAUCCAAGAAGACCCACUUGUCCUUGAUAGAGCUUUAGCUUCCUGCCUCUCAGAGACCCCACUUCACAUAGCUUCAAUGUUGGGUCAUCUGGGUUUCGUCAAGGAGCUACUGACUCAUAAGCCCGAGUUGGCCUCCGAGCUGGACUCGAGGGGCUCGACGCCUCUCCACUUGGCGGCGGCCAAAGGGCACGCGGAGAUCGUAAAGGAGCUGGCUUUGGUGGAUCCUGCUGCAUGCAUGGUGAGGAACGAAGAUGGGUGGACGGCGCUCCACGUGGCAGCCGUCAAGGGGCGUGUUAAGGUGCUGAGUGAGUUGGCCCGAGUCAGGACUGACUCCACUCUGGCGUUGACGGACCGAGGCGAGACUGUGCUGCACUUGUGCGUUGGGCAUAAUCGGUUGGAGGGGUUGAAGGCUUUGGCUGAGGCUUUUGGAAAAGAUGAUGAGUUUCUGAAUUGGAAGGACGUCGAUGGGAACACCAUUUUGCAUAUUUCUGUGGCCAAGAAGCAAAUUGAGAUCAUCAAGUUCUUGCUUACCAGUACUGGAGUGAAUGUGAAUGCGUUGAAUGCCAACAGCUCUACGGCUUUGGACAUUCUGAUGCAGAGUCUUAGAGAUUUGAGGGAUAUGGAGAUUGAGGAUUCUCUUCGAAGUGUAGGGGCUAAAAGUGCAAAGGAUGUACAACCCAUCAUGCAUGACUGGGUUCGUGUUCCAACAAAAGAACACCAGAUAUCAAGACGUCUAGGCUCAGCAGCACUAUCUUCGAAAGAGGGUGAUUCUAUGAGGCUGCCCAACAGAAGCCUAGCGAUUGGCUCGGGAGGAGGAGAAGUUCGUUGAUGGUGGUGGCAUCUCUCCUUGCAACCGUUGCCUUCCAAGCUGGUUUAACCCCGCCAGGAGGUGUUUGGCAGGAUGACCUGGAAGUAGAUGAGAAUGGCAACCCUGUGGCAAAACCUCACUCCGUAGGAACAUCUGUCAUGGCAUAUAACCUGCCAAAAGAGUAUGGUCUGUUCAUGAUUUUUAACACAAUUGCUUUCCUCACGUCCCUAAGCAUAAUUCUUCUGCUUGUUAGUGGGCUACCAAUAAAGCGUCGAAGGUGGAUGUGGAUACAAAUGGUCAUAAUGUGGGUUGCCAUCACUACACAAGUAGUAACUUACUUCAUCUCUCUCCGUCAAAUGUCACCUGAUGCCUCAAAUGUGAAAAAAAUGUUGCGCGAGGUAACGGAGAAAUCAGUUUUGGCAUGGUUGUGUUUGAUGGUGGUUGUUUUUGUCGGCAAUUGUGUUCGUAUGAAUUUAUGGGUUCUCAGAAAGUACGGUUAUAUUAAGCCAAAAGAGGAAUCAGCCCCCAUUGAUGAUGAACUUGAAGAGGAGGAGAACUGAGGAUUAAAGUGAAUGGGACUCUCACUAAUUUAUGGCUUGGCGACACAGAACUUAUAAUUGCAAUUUUCUGGAUGUGAGUGUCAAGCUAGAAAGUUUUCGUCCACAGCCCUGUCAGGUAUGAGAUUGGACAUUUGAAGGUAAGUUUUUUAGCAGCACAUUUGGAUGAAGAUAUUGUGGUCAAGCCCCUUCUUAUCUGAUUGUUUGGGUUUGAGGGUUAAACUCACCAUUCUUGUACAUCUCUAUUCCUCUGUUAAAGUCAUCGGUCCUUGUCUCUGAGAUGGCAAUGCUUUUAUGUGUAUGUGCUUUUAUCUUCUGUACUUGUAAAUUUUGAGAGAAAUAUACUUCGUUCUGAUUGAUUCAGUUGGCAUGAUAAGAAUGCCACUGUUAAAGUCCGCUCUGUUAAUGAUUCUGUGAAGGUAUAUUCUUUAAUGAAACUAUAGUCAUUGGCUCGGUUGGUGUGUGGUGGGUUUGCAACUUUGUCCUCGGAAGCAUAUAUAUUUUUAUGGUUGGGGUUUUGGCUAUCUUCUUCUUCCUUGUAAUAUUUUUCUGUUUAAUUGUUGAAGCACAUACUUAAACACCUGUUUAGGGAAUAUCU